GACGAACGCUGGCGGCGUGCUUAACACAUGCAAGUCGAACGAAGAGCGAUGGAAGCUUGCUUCUAUCAAUCUUAGUGGCGAACGGGUGAGUAACGCGUAAUCAACCUGCCCUUCAGAGGGGGACAACAGUUGGAAACGACUGCUAAUACCGCAUACGAUCUAACCUCGGCAUCGAGGAUAGAUGAAAGGUGGCCUCUACAUGUAAGCUAUCACUGAAGGAGGGGAUUGCGUCUGAUUAGCUAGUUGGAGGGGUAACGGCCCACCAAGGCGAUGAUCAGUAGCCGGUCUGAGAGGAGGGACGGCCACAUUGGGACUGAGACACGGCCCAGACUCCUACGGGAGGCAGCAGUGGGGAAUCUUCCGCAAUGGACGAAAGUCUGACGGAGCAACGCCGCGUGAGUGAUGACGGCCUUCGGGUUGUAAAGCUCUGUUAAUCGGGACGAAAGGCCUUCUUGCGAAUAGUUAGAAGGAUUGACGGUACCGGAAUAGAAAGCCACGGCUAACUACGUG
rnacentral:rRNA from 1 species